rnacentral:rRNA from 1 species
GGACUACCAGGGUAUCUAAUCCUGUUUGCUCCCCACGCUUUCGAGCCUCAGCGUCAGUUAAAGCCCAGCAGGCCGCCUUCGCCACUGGUGUUCCUCCUAAUAUCUACGCAUUUCACCGCUACACUAGGAAUUCCGCCUGCCUCUACUUCACUCAAGAAUAAUAGUUUUGGAUGCAGCUCCGCAGUUGAGCCGCGGCAUUUCACAUCCAACUUACUAUCCCGCCUACGCUCCCUUUACACCCAGUAAUUCCGGACAACGCUCGCCACCUACGUAUUACCGCGGCGGCUGGCAC